rnacentral:rRNA from 1 species
GACGAACGCUGGCGGCGUGCUUAACACAUGCAAGUCGAACGGAAAGGCCCUGCUUGCAGGGUACUCGAGUGGCGAACGGGUGAGUAACACGUGGGUGAUCUGCCCUGCACUUCGGGAUAAGCCUGGGAAACUGGGUCUAAUACCGGAUAGGAGCCAUUUUUAGUGUGAUGGUUGGAAAGUUUUUUCGGUGUAGGAUGAGCUCGCGGCCUAUCAGCUUGUUGGUGGGGUAAUGGCCUACCAAGGCGGCGACGGGUAGCCGGCCUGAGAGGGUGGACGGCCGCAUUGGGACUGGGAUACGGCCCAGACUCCUACGGGAGGCAGCAGUGGGGAAUAUUGCACAAUGGGCGCAAGCCUGAUGCAGCGACGCCGCGUGGGGGAUGACGGCCUUCGGGUUGUAAACUCCUUUCGCUAGGGACGAAGCUUUUUGUGACGGUACCUAGAUAAGAAGCACCGGCUAACUACGUG